rnacentral:rRNA from 1 species
UACGGGGGGGGCAAGCGUUGUUCGGAAUUACUGGGCGUAAAGGGCUCGUAGGCGGCCAACUAAGUCAGACGUGAAAUCCCUCGGCUUAACCGGGGAACUGCGUCUGAUACUGGAUGGCUUGAGUGUGGGAGAGGAAUGCGGAAUUCCAGGUGUAGCGGUGAAAUGCGUAGAUAUCGGAAGGAACACCAGUGGCGAAAGCGGCUUCCUGGUCCGACACCGACGUUCAGGCACGAAAGCGUGGGGAGCAAACAGG